AGCGGCGCACGGGUGAGUAACACGUAGAUAAUCUACCCCUGGGUCUGGAAUAACCUACCGAAAGGUGGGCUAAUACCGGAUAUGACCACGAGGGCUACGGCCCUUGAGGUGAAAGGUGGCCUCUUCUUGAAAGCUACCGCCUGAGGAUGAGUCUGCGCGCCAUUAGCUAGUUGGCGGGGUAAAAGCCCACCAAGGCGAUGAUGGCUAGCUGGUCUGAGAGGAUGACCAGCCACACUGGGACUGACACACGGCCCAGACUCCUACGGGAGGCAGCAGUGGGGAAUAUUGCGCAAUGGGCGAAAGCCUGACGCAGCGACGCCGCGUGGGUGAUGAAGGCCUUCGGGUCGUAAAGCCCUUUCGAGGGGGAAGAACAAGCUGGGGGCGAAUAGGCCUCAGCCCUGACGGUACCCCUAGAAGAAGCACCGGCUAACUCCGUGCCAGCAGCCGCGGUAAUACGGAGGGUGCGAGCGUUGUUCGGAAUCACUGGGCGUAAAGCGCGUGUAGGCGGCUCGAUAAGUCUGGUGUGAAAGCCCGGGGCUCACCCCCGGAAGUGCACUGGAUACUGUCGAGCUCGAGUUCCGGAGAGGAAAGUGGAAUUCCUGGUGUAGCGGUGAAAUGCGUAGAUAUCAGGAGGAACACCGGUGGCGAAGGCGGCUUUCUGGACGGUAACUGACGCUGAGACGCGAAAGCGUGGGGAGCAAACAGGAUUAGAUACCCUGGUAGUCCACGCUGUAAACGAUGAGUACUAGGUGUC
rnacentral:rRNA from 1 species